UCCGAAUCUUGCACUAGGUGGCUACUGUUUUUCCAUCUCAAGUGAAAUCACUAUUUUUCUCUAAACAUGGGGUCGGAAUUUUUCUAAAAUUAGGUUGAGAUUCUACUAGAUUUGGAUAUUUUGGGUCGAGAUUGACCAUUUCCGACUAGUAUAAGAACUUCUUAAAUCGACAUGGUAACACACUUUCAAAGUUCUCCUUCACCCCUCAACAUUGUUUUCUUAAAGAAGUUUUCCUUGACUGCUGACACCUUGGUCCAGGUUCUAUCUUCCAAUUUACCCACUGUUUUGUAGUUCUUAUUCAACUCUGUCUUUAUGUGAUAGUUCUUGUUCAUAUUGUCUUUAGUCUCAUUUUGAUUUUGCCUCUAUUUUGUAGAGCUUGUUCUUACUUUUGUUAAUCGUUGCUAGUAUUCAUAUUGUUUUUCAAGUUUUA
rnacentral:lncRNA from 1 species